UAUGAUCACAUCACGUUGAAACACUGGAUCUCACACGAUCUACCGAAGUUAAGCAACGUCAAAACUGGUCAGUACCUAGAUGGGUGACCACUUGGGAAUACCAGGUGCUGUAAG